GACGAACCGUGCGAACGUUGUUCGGAAUCACUGGGCUUAAAGGGCGCGUAGGCGGGCUGUCAAGUCUGGGGUGAAAUGCCGCGGCUCAACCGUGGAACUGCCUUAGAUACUGACGGCCUCGAGGAGGGUAGGGGCAUGCGGAACUGUAGGUGGAGCGGUGAAAUGCGUUGAUAUCUACAGGAACUCCGGUGGCGAAAGCGGCGUGCUGGACCUUUUCUGACGCUGAGGCGCGAAAGCUAGGGGAGCAAACGGG
rnacentral:rRNA from 1 species